AGUAACCAGCCGCGAGCCCCCUUUUCCAAGAUUCACUUUUUAUUUCCUGCCUGUGGCGGCCGCACCUGAAUAGAACGCGCAUGCGCAAGGCUGUCUGUCGCCGCGCCCUGCCUUCAGUUUGGAACACCUGAGUGGCUUUAUGCCACUUUUCCCAGGGCUUGGACGUCAUUCUGGACCCAAAUUCGGUGAACCGGUUACUCCCAGAGCUGCAGCCAGGGCCCAUUUUGAGGGAGACGUUCAGGUCCAGUCCUCCCGCUGCAGCCUGCUGGUAGCAAGCCGACCUGACCGGAUGACAUAGAUACUAGGUUUUUACAGCAAUUCUCUGAUGACCUUGAUAUGGUAGAACGCUGUGUAUUUCAAAAGUAAGCUCUCAUUUGAGGAAACUAACAAUUCCUGGUUUUGCCAGCUUUUUAGGUCUUGUUCAAGAAAUCCUUCUUCACCCCCAAGGUAACAGAUAUAUUGUCCUUCAUUUUCUUCUACUGCAUUUACAGUUCUGCCUUUCACAUUUAGGUCUUUAAUGCAUUUGCACUCCACUUCUGUAUUUAAGAUCCUGCUCUACUUUUGUCUUCAUAGUGAGCCAGCAUUCACAAUACUAUCAUACUAAACUUAGUCUGUUCUAUCCCCUUUGCCUUAUAGUGCCACCUGUAACUUAUGUGAAGUUCCUGAAAUACCUAAGUCCAAGUUGCAGCUCUGUCAUAUUCUACUGAUUAUUUGUUCCUGUACCUGUACAAGGUUAUUUUUAUUACUUUCACUUUGUGGUAUAUUUUUAAAAAAAAUUUUUUUCUGAUAGAGACAAGGUCUCCCUAUGUUGCCCAGGCUAGUCUCAAACUGCUGGACUCAA